CCUACGGGUGGCUGCAGUGAGGAAUAUUGGUCAAUGGGCGUAAGCCUGAACCAGCCAAGUCGUGUGAGGGAUGAAGGUUCUAUGGAUCGUAAACCUCUUUUAUAAGGGAAUAAAGUGUGGGACGUGUCCUAUUUUGUAUGUACCUUAUGAAUAAGGAUCGGCUAACUCCGUGCCAGCAGCCGCGGUAAUACGGAGGAUCCGAGCGUUAUCCGGAUUUAUUGGGUUUAAAGGGUGCGUAGGUGGCGUUUUAAGUCAGCGGUGAAAGUUUGUGGCUCAACCAUAGAAUUGCCGUUGAAACUGGGGGGCUUGAGUAUAUUAGAGGCAGGCGGAAUGCGUGGUGUAGCGGUGAAAUGCUUAGAGAUCACGCAGAACCCCGAUUGCGAAGGCAGCUUACCAAGCCAUGACUGACGCUGAUGCACGAAAGCGUGGGGAUCAAACAGGAUUAGAUACCCGGGUAGUC
rnacentral:rRNA from 1 species